UACGUAGGGCGCAAGCGUUAUCCGGAAUUAUUGGACGUAAAGAGCUCGUAGGCGGUUUGUCGCGUCUGCCGUGAAAGUCCGGGGCUCAACUCCGGAUCUGCGGUGGGUACGGGCAGACUAGAGUGAUGUAGGGGAGACUGGAAUUCCUGGUGUAGCGGUGAAAUGCGCAGAUAUCAGGAGGAACACCGAUGGCGAAGGCAGGUCUCUGGGCAUUAACUGACGCUGAGGAGCGAAAGCGUGGGGAGCGAACAGG
rnacentral:rRNA from 1 species